AUACGUAGGGUGCGAGCGUUAAUCGGAAUUACUGGGCGUAAGGCGUGCGCAGGUGGUUUUGUAAGUCAGAUGUGAAAUCCCCGGGCUUAACCUGGGAACUGCGUUUGAAACUGCAAGGCUAGAGUGUGGCAGAGGGGGGUGGAAUUCCGCGUGUAGCAGUGAAAUGCGUAGAGAUGCGGAGGAACACCGAUGGCGAAGGCAGCCCCCUGGGUCAGCACUGACGCUCAGGCACGAAAGCAUGGGGAGCAAACAGGAUUAGAAACCCCAGUAGUCC
rnacentral:rRNA from 1 species